rnacentral:rRNA from 1 species
AGCGAACGCUGGCGGCAGGCCUAACACAUGCAAGUCGAACGAACCUUUCGGGGUUAGUGGCGGACGGGUGAGUAACACGUGGGAACGUGCCUUUAGGUUCGGAAUAACUCAGGGAAACUUGUGCUAAUCCCGAAUGUGCCCUUCGGGGGAAAGAUUUAUCGCCUUUAGAGCGGCCCGCGUCUGAUUAGCUAGUUGGUUGAGGUAAUGGCUCACCAAGGCGACGAUCAGUAGCUGGUCUGAGAGGAUGAUCAGCCACAUUGGGACUGAGACACGGCCCAAACUCCUACGGGAGGCAGCAGUGGGGAAUCUUGCGCAAUGGGCGAAAGCCUGACGCAGCCAUGCCGCGUGAAUGAUGAAGGUCUUAGGAUUGUAAAAUUCUUUCACCGGGGACGGUAAUGACGGUACCCGGAGAAGAAGCCCCGGCUAACUUCGUG